GUCACCGCCUUGUAGAACAGCCCGAACAACAUGUCCCAAGAGUCGUUGUCAGUUUAAUAGCCAAGAUUAUUUAGCGGCUGUUUGUCCUGGAGCCUAUCCCAUUAAAUGUGUGGAAUAUUUCCUCUUUGUUUUGCACGCAGGACAACCGACCAGAGAGGCAGGAAGGACCUGGCAGGAGAGCAGGAGGCAAGAGGAGAGCCUAAGGAACUUGCUUUCACCUGCUCCGAGCUCCAGUCUGCAUCUCGCCAGCAGCCACAGGCAACAAGGGCUCAUGCUACCGGUUACUUCAGGCACGUCCAUACACAGCUGGCUGCACGGAGACUUUCAGUUUCUUUGGACAGAGGUAUUAUCAUCCAUGGGCCAGAGCACCAGCUGCCUGGAGCCCCCUGCUCAGAGGUUUGAGUUCUACCCUGGAUUGGUAGACAGUUGUACCUAUCCUCUGAGCUCCUACAGCCCCAGAUGUGUUGAUAUAGGUCCGUCAGUCCUGUCUGACUCUUUGUGACCCCAUGGACUGUAGCCCGCCAGGCUCCUCUGUCCAUGAAUUUCUCCAGCAAGAAUACUGGAGUGGGUAGCCAUUUCCUCCUCCAGGGGAUCUUCCCUACCCAGGGACAGAACCUGGGGCUCCAGCAUUGCAGGCAGAUUCUUUACCAUCUGAGCCACAGGGGAACCCACAGCCCCAGAAAUCUGAGCUACUUCUGGUCAUAAUUGCCCCUAUUACCUCAAGGAUCAUGUCUGGUUCUUCCAGCCUCUUAGUAUGUGUGUAGCCAAUUCCGCUUAAUAAAUUCCCUGUAUUUUAAAUACCUGGAGAGGUUUCUGUUUUCCUCAGCAGACCAAGAAACCUGGUCCGGGGUUUCAGUUUGAUUGAAAGCCUUUGGUUAAUGUUGAAGUCAUAGCUUAUCUUUCUAAGAAAGCUUAAGAUGGACAAUAUUAACAACUGCAAAAUGAAUAUGUUCAAAUGUUUAAAGACUUUAAAAAAAAAGGAUCAGAAAUGAGGAAAGUCACGGCAUUAUUAAAAGAUCAGGCAGGUUUAGAAAAGAACAAAAUAGGACUUGCAGCGGGCUUCCCAGGUGGCUUAGAGAUAAAGAGUCAACCUUUCAAUGCAGGCGAUGUAGGUUUGAUCCCUGGUAGGGAGAACUAAGAUCUCACAUGCACCUAAGCCCAAGUGCUGAAAUGACUGAAGACACAAGAGAGUCCGUGCACCUCAACGUAAAGAUCCUUCAUGCACACCCACUAUGUGCUGAGACAGAGCCCAGGCAGUCAAAUUGAAAAAAAAAAAAGAACUACUAAAUGUAACUUACCAGGAGAAACUAAAAGAAGCAUGGCCUCAGACUUUUACACAGCAAGUAUUACUUCAAGAUAAAGUGGAACAGUGCUGGUCAUGACCACAAGGAAAUAAAAUGUGAUCCUUCAUUUUCAUGCCCAGCCUAACAAUGUAAUGUCAAGAAUCAGUAUUUUUGAACACGUCAGGAUGUGGACCAGAGCUCCCAUGGUGAUUUAGCCCAGCUGUUUGUGAUCUCAUGGACUGUAGCCCACCAGGCUCCUCUGUCCAUGGGAUUCUCCAGGCCAGAAUACUGGAGUGGGUUGCCAUGCCCUUCUCCAGGGGAUCUUCCCCACCCAGGGUUUGAACCCUUGUCUCUUACGUUUCCUGCAUUGGCAGGCAGGUUCUUACCACUAGCACCACCUGGGAAGUCCCUUUUUCUCAUAAAACACCCCAAAUAUUAAGAAUCCUUUUUGGCCCCUGAUUUUUUUUCACCUAUCACUAUACAUUGGAGCUCUUUCUGUAUGGAUACCUAGAGAGCUUUUCAUCUUUUAUACAGCCACAUAGAAUUACACUGCUUACAUGUACCAUUAAUCUGCUUCCUUUUGACGGAUACUUGAGCUGUUUCUAAGCACCUGUCACAUCAACGAAUGGAACCAUUUACAACCUUGUAAAAACUUUAUUUGAUAUAUAUCUAUAUAAAACAUACACACACACA
ensembl:lncRNA